GUCCCCUCCCGGUGUCGCUUCUCGCCCCGCCGCCCCCCCGCUCCCUACCGGGCCCGCGGCCCCUCACGCCCGCCCAGCGCGGGGGCGGUGGCGGCGCGCGCGGGUGACGUCAGGGCUUCUCACCCCGCCGCCCCCCCGCUCCCUACCGGGCCCGCGGCCCCUCACGCCCGCCCCGCGCUGCCCCCGCGGGGUCCCGGCACCCCCGCAGCUCCCCCGCCACGGCGGGGCCGGGGGCUCGGUGCAGGGAGCGGGGCGCGCUGAGCCGCCAGCGGAGCUCCCGCCCCGUGACCACAACGCGGGGGAACCCCCCGGGAGCGCGGAGCCCGCCCCACCGCGCAGGUGAGCGGGGCUCACCGGCUCACCCGCUCCCCCCUCCACUUCCCCGGGCUGCCACGCCUUUGUCUCCGGUCUUUGUCUGUCCCGUCCGUGCCCGGGGCGGGGACCGCUGCUGCCACCAGCACCCUGCACUCUCGCACCCACCUCCUCCUUAGCGCCGGGCUGCCCCGCAGCACGCUCCCCUGGCAUGCCCCUGCACUCCCCCCGCACGGCCGGAGCCCCUCCGCCCCUCCCAGCCCCACCUCCUCCCGCACCAUGCACCCCGGUCCCCCGGGAUUCCCGACGUCCCCGGUUCCUCUCCACAUUCCCCCACUGCCUUCCCCCUGUCUCCUCCUCCUCCUCCUCCUCCUCUCGGGUUUGAACACCCCUUGCCCCCCGCAGACCUGCCUCCCCUCCGCCGCUCGCACAGCUCUGCCGUGCCCUGCCCUGCCCUGCCCUGCCCUGCCUGCCGGGCUCCGCCAGACCGGCACCUCCGCACAGGGACUGGGGAGGAGUGGGGGACACCUUCUCACUUUCCGUGCGCCCCGGAGGAGACAAAGACAGGGGGUGACGGGGAUCCCCGGUCCUGCCGUCGUCGGGAUGCGCGCGGAGCUCCGGGCACGGCGGCAUCGCUCAGCGGUGCGAGCGAGCACAGAGCUCGGACAGCGCCGGUGCCGGGGCGCGGUGCCUUCGGUCAGAUCUAUUGUCACCCGUGCAGGGGAGCGGGCUCCGGACUCUACCGCUGCCGCCGCGGCUCUGUCACACGGGUCGCCUCCGUGCCCUGCGCCGUGAGCCUCGCAGGGAUGUGCGGUACGGGCUCCGGGGCUCGCGUCCCACUGUGGGUCACUCCUGCAAGCUCCCUCCCCAGAUCGCUCCUGGAAGCAAAGUCGCCUCGGACAGAGGCACCGUCCCUCGCAGGGCCUGAGCCCCUCUCACAUCCCAGGGGUAUGUCCCUGCUCCGAGCUAGAGAUGCCGAGGGGCGACGGAAGCUUUUCCCACCGAGUCAUUGUGUUUACAGAGCCGUGUGCUGCCAUGCACCGAGCCCCUGGGUACCCGCGGCUUGUUCUCUCCUCUUCCUCUGUUGAUAAACGUGAGAUCUCAUUUCUGAAUUAAAUCAAUUUGGCAUCAGUUAAUGGCUUAUUGCAGCUAGUAAUUCAUCACGUAGAAUUUAAGUGACACUUCUCCAAUUCACACCUGAAGUUUUCUGUCAGCCAGAGGGUUUAAUGGAAGUGGUUUUGCAUUCCCGUCUCCUCUCCCUUGAAGAAGGAGGCAUUAAUUUUAUAGGUAUGGUUCAAAGUGAGAAUGUCAUUCAAGGAAGAAUGUUGAAAGCACAGCCUAACUGUUCUGCCAAUCGGGACACAUCCAUGUCUCCCUCGCAGCAAAGAUUAGGGUAAAUCUUUCCCAUUCUUCCCUGUAACACUAGCGAGUACUUUCCAGCCGGGUGAGCAAUGACCUUUCCUAUUGAUUGUGUCCCAUUUGUCACCUGGCAUUGUGCAUGAAACUGAAGAGUCUUCUCUGCCAUGCUGACAGCAAGCAACUAUAUCUUGGAUGCUAAUCUCGGGCUCAUUGCUAUUUUAGUCUCAUUAUUGGGUAGAGUAGGCUCUGUUUGAUGGCAGGUCGCUUGUGAUGGCUGCGUCAGGCACACUCUGAAGUCCCAGAGGGAAGCAGAGCAGAGGGUACUGCAUAUUCAUGCAUGGGCCCCUCUUCCCCUUCAAUGCAGUGACUCGCUGGGCUGACCUGGCCCUGGCAGAUGUUGUGCUGGGAAGAUCUCAGGGCAGGUUGGACUAGGCUCGGAAGAAAGGGUGGCACAGCUGUGGCUAGGGGACACCUGAAGGUGUCCAGUGUGGACUAAAACUGGGGUGCUGGAGCUCAGCAGGGACUCGGGAAGCUCACAAGCCUGGGCUGCAGGAGAGGGAGCUCCCUGGGCUGUGCUGUAUGAACUGAUGACUUCUGUCCGGAUCAGAGAUCAGGAGGGUAGAACACAGACUGCCCAGCCAGAGCUGAUGUGUGAGGGGAGUCCCAGCUCCAGCCCUACAACUAAUGUUGAGUGAAUCAAGUUUCAAGUGGUCACUGGAUACAAAUUGCCCCAGGGAGAGACUUUGUGAAGGGGCAGCUACAACUAUAACUACUACUUAAUGCCUUGUAAAUCUGAAUCCUCAUGUUCUGUCUCUUGUGCCAUUAAUGCAACUGGUGUAUUACUUAAUUUGGCCCUUUCUAUUCUGAAAUGCUGUCUGGGGAUAGCAAAAAUGAGAGAAAACAGCUCAGGUAAAGGAACCAGGUGUUUCAAAGGGCAAAGGGGGUGGGGGGUGUUCAGGUAGCCUGAAUAUCUGCAGAGAGGAAAUGUCUUGCAUCACAGCCAUGAGGGACAAAGAAACUUUGGAGUCCUGUAAGUAUGAAAAGCAAGUUAGGGAGGAAUGGUGAUAAUGGAAACAGGAAACCUAAAAAGCAGGGCAGCUCUGAAAAGGAACACAAAAGGUCUGAAGAUCUGUGAGUGGGGAAUUCUGCUGUUCUGUCAUCCCAAGGAUGUCUGGGACAACAGCAAAAACAAUUUAAAUUCUUUGCAAAUCAAGUAUACAGGAAGUGUUGGAAAGAAUAAAAGUGUUAGUACUUUUGCCCUGGAGAGGAAA
ensembl:lncRNA